CGCGUGAGGGAGGGGCUCUUGGGUUGUAAACCUCUUUUCUCAGGGAAGAAUGAUGACGGUACGGGGGAAUAAGCAUCGGCUAACUCCGUGCCAGCAGCCGCGGUAAAACGGAGGAUGCAAGCGUUAUCCGGAAUGAUUGGGCGUAAAGCGUCCGCAGGUGGCAAUGUAAGUCUGCUGUCCCCUCGUCAGGCUCAACCAGAUAAAGGCAGUGGAAACUACAUAGCUAGAGUAAGGUAGGGGUAGAGGGAAUUCCUGGUGUAGCGGUGAAAUGCGUAGAGAUCAGGAAGAACACCGGUGGCGAAAGCGCUCUGCUGGACCUUAACUGACACUGAGGGACGAAAGCUAGGGGAGCGAAUGGGAUUAGAUACCCCUAU
rnacentral:rRNA from 1 species